AACAGCCGGUUUCCGAAACGUUAUUCAAAUCUUCGAUCAUCUAAUCGAGCUGUUAGAUUUGAUCAACUGUUAACCAGUGACCAGUUUCUCAAACGUCGAUCAUCUUAAAAUUAUAUGAUCGUAGAAAAUCGAUUAUCUGACAUACGAUUUGGUAUCGAUACUGUCACAAUCGGCUGUCAUCCUUCAAAAUUUCAUUUUAUAACCAAAAAAUUUCAAUCCAUAGUAAAUAACUACAUAAUUUAUAAAAUUAAAAAAUAUAUUAAAAAUGAGCAAUACCAACGGAAAUCCUCCACGCAAAAAUUAUACUGAGAGAGAGAAAUGUUUGCUGUUGGAAAUAAUUGGAAAAUACAAGCAUAUUAUAAUUGAAAACAAAUAAUGUACCAAUGCUAUGUCCACCAACCAAAA
rnacentral:lncRNA from 1 species